UUUACUGCCAUGUCAUCAGCCGAGUCAACAAAGAAACCCUACGUUUAUGUAAAAAAUAAACCGUACGUUCCUCUGCAUAGCUUCCGGCUCCGUUGAACACAGACGGUUUCAAGGGCAGGAUGUCGGGAUUUCGCCAUGCCGGUGUGUCCAAGAUUGGCGUUAGAUCCAUCACCUGUUACCGCCAGAUCCGCCGCCUACGGAGUUGUCCCGCGGCCUUAAACGGUGGCUCCGAAACAGAGACCAACUCCGAAACCCUAGCUUCACGGAUCUGCUCAAGCCUCCAAUCGUCGCUUAGGUCUGAGAAUCACAAGCUGACGCACUCCCAAGAUGGCGGGGAAUAAGCUGGACCGAAGAGAAACAAACGAGAGAGAACCGCCAUCCCUCACCGUAGAUCCGUCGACACCAUCUCCGUCCAGCUACGACCUCUGAACUUCAUCACUGAAUCUGAAACGGUACAAGUUAUGUGUUUUUCGUGUGGUGUUCCUUAUUAAUUCAAUCUCCAUCAAUCAUCACUCAUUUUCGCCACCCUUAGCAUUCAGAAGUAUCUUCUGAUUAGCCAAUUAUAGCAGUGGAUCUCCCAGAUUCCUUUUAUCUCAGUACGUUCUUAUUUGUUUAUUCCUACAAAUCUACUUCUACUUCCUGUGUCCAUUUGUUUUCUUGAUCUUACGGCUCCUUUGUUAAAUUAUGUCAUAAAUGAUGAAUCUUUUUCUUCUUAUUGAAGACAUCACUAAGCAUAUAUAUUUACUAUAUCUUUACCAAUGUUAGCACAUGUAUGUAUCUGAUCUUAUUGUCUUGAUUCUGGUAGUUUAUUUGUUUUUUUUAAGCGUUUUCAGCGGUACUCAUACCAGCCACCGUGAUAACUAUCUCACUGGUGUCUCUGUUGGGGACUGUCCACGUUUAGGGUACAUCAAAGUUUAGAAAUUUGACGGGGUCAUUGCAUGUACACUUGGUGGAGUGCAGUCCCGCGUUGCAGAAAUUUCAGCACCAGAGCCUGAAGUGCACAGAUGAAAGUAGUUCGGAGAAGAAAGCUAUAAGUUCACUAGCUGGGAAACCUGUGCACUGGCACGCUACUCUUGAAGAGGUACCAUUAGGAGUACCAACAAUAAUCAUAGCUCAUGAGUUCUAUGAUGCUCUUCCAGUUCAUCAGUUACAGGUUUGUGUGAUUUGCAAUAUAGUCUUCUCAUUUUUCCAGCUUGUGCUUCUCUUUCUGGCUAUUUUCUAUGUUCUGUGUAUGUUGCUUUCAAAGCAGUUCAUCUUGAAGAAACAACAUGAAGCUAUCCAGAAGCAACAAGGUCAGUCUUACGCACCUAUUGAGGAGACGGAUGAGAGUCUUCAUGUAGCGACAAGCGGAGGAUCACAUGGGCACGGGGAGUUUGAAUUCAGCGAGAUCUUUGUGCAUCAGUUUUUUCACACCAUAGAAUUUUUUACUUAGAGCUGUUUCCAACACCUCUUCUUACCUGCGUAUAUGGGCUCUCAGUCUUGCACACUCGGAGAUAUCGUCAGUCUUCUAUGAGACUAUGAGAAGGUCGUCCUUCUCGCUUGGGGUACAACAAUGUGUUGAUCCUGAUCGUUGGGAUCAUUGUUUUCAUAUUGUGGGAUUGCUGCUGGUGAUAGAGACACUGAGCACGUUCCUUCCCGCACUGCGUCUCCACUUGGUGGAGUUUCAGAACAAAUUCUACGCUCAUUUCUCUUUCGUUCUCACCGGAAACGAAGACGAUUGAUAGGGAUGAAUGAUUGUUCCAUUCCCCUCCCAUUCUCUGCAAAAUUUGCAUAUAUAAAAAAGGAACGAGACAAACCAAGUUUUAUUUGUUUUCUGCGAAUAUAUUUUUCCCCUUCCACAUUCAGGGUGGGCGGAAUUAAAUAUGUUUAUUUUGUUUGCCUGUCUGGAGAUUAGAUUUUUUUAAACAACAGUGGAGAAGGGGCUAAUGGAAUUUGUACGAGGUAAACUCAUUUGUUGAUGUGUUUGUUUGGAGUUAAAUACGUGAGGAUUUGUUUCCACUUACUAUACA